UUCAGCCGGGGAGAGCUGUGAGGCGGUAGGUACCUUAUGACACAAACGCCAGUGUAAACAGAGCAGCCUUCCUGCGCCAGGCCUUGGGUGUUGGGGGCAGAUGGUGUGCGGCUUUCUUCCUGGCCAGCUGCGCAGUCUGGGGUUUGCAGGUCUGUGAUAACUGAUUGGAUAAUCUCUGCCAUACAAGCAUUAGCCAGUCACAAAGACAUCAUGGGAAUGGGAUCCCUUCUGUCCACCAUCAUCGGCUGUCGCCUUUAUGACAAAGAAGCUGACAUUCCAAUUGACAGGAGCCAGGACUUUCACUGAAAUAAGCGUCGGGAUGUGGCGUGAUCAAAGACCUGGUGAGACACGACUCCAACAGAAUGGAGAAGAAUCUCUGGUAAAGACGAAGACGCUUUAUUUCUGAACACAAAGAAAACUGAGCAGAGCCCUGUUUGUGUGAGGCAGUUCUGCAUCCAGUCAGGCUAGACAGCGUGGGAUCAUUUCAUACCCAAUUGCUGUGUCAUCGCCUGUUGGGGCGACAGUGGUGGAGGGCAGUGCUGAGUGCAGUGUCCCAAAGGCUGGUCCACUUCAUCAGAGGCUCCGUGCACCAUGGUUCAAGACGCUGGGGGCCCAUCGCAGAUGCCUCCUGCUCUGCAUGACACAGUUGUCCAAAGCCAUUUAGGAAACAUCCAGAUGAUGAGUUUAAAGAGAACCCCGAGGGAGCACUUAAUGGCUGUAUACAUGAAAAGACAUUAGGAAAAUGUAGUCCAUGUGAGAAAAAGUUUCCAAGUGCACCUGGGGAGUAGCCCUGAGUGGGGUCAGCCUGUUGUUGAAGAAGUGAAUCCUGGGAAGAAAGGCUGCUAGGCACCUGAGCACCCCAGCCCAGGGAUAACCUCCUCUGUUAAGGCCUGAAUGUGUCUCCCACAAAUUCAGAUGUUAAAAUCCUACCCCCCCACCCAAGUUGGGGCCUUUGGGAGGAAAUUAGGUUAUGAAGGUGGAGCCCUCAUGAAUGGGAAGAGUGCCUGGAUUAGUGCCUAGAUUCAAGGUUCUCCAGAAAGAGAGCCAAUAGGAGAUACAUAGUUACCCACAAGAGGAGAUCUACUAGGGGAUUUGGCCCACACGGUAAUGGAGAGCCGGAAGCCCCACAGUCUGGUCUGCAAGCUGGAGCACCAGGAGAGCUGAGUGUGUAAUGCUGCCUGAGUCUGUGGCCGGAAGAUGGAGGAGCUUGCUGGUUUUAAGUCCUGGGGGCUGAAGACCCAAGAACCAAGAGUUCCAGGCUUGAAGGGUAAGAGAACACAGACAUCAAAACUUCUGGACAGAGAGAAGUCAUGCUUCCUUCACAUUUUUGUUCCAUGUGGGUUCUGCUUGGACUAGGUGAUGCCCAUCCACCCGUCUACUCAGCCCACCGAAUCAAACGCUGUCUUCCAGGAACACUCACAGAUAAAUCCAGAAAUAAUGCUUUCCCAGCUACCUGAGUCCCUGAGCCCAGUCAAGUGGCCAUGAGAAAUGAACCGUCACAGUUCCCUCAUCAGCAAGCAGAGGCAGCAGAGAGCUUGCUCUCUCUCUCUCUCUCUCUCUCUCUGCUCUCCACCAGGCCAGGAGACAGGAAGCGGCCGUGGGAAAGCCAGGAAGCGGGUGCUCAGCAGAUACCAGAUGUGCCAACCUUCCAGCCUGCUGCGCUCCACGCGGUGCUAUGCUUGUUACAGCAGCCCACGGGGUGAGUGAGAAGCUAAGGAGAGAAAACUUGAGAAGUACCAGCCAUCACAUAAUCCACACUGUUAUGUUUCAUCAUGAUUCAUCAGUAGGGAGAAAUAAG